CCCUAUGUUCACCAAACCCAUCUUGAGUGUUUGCUGCUAAAAAGCUCAUUUUCUAGUUUCAGAAGCCAGUCCCAUUUGAAGUUCCAGUCGUGUCUGAUAACUGAAUAUGCUGGAGAUUGUUUUUGGAUGAGCGAGGAGAAUUUUUCUUGAAACCCUCCCAAACAACAUGUGGUGAUGUAGGUGCUGUUUGACAAUUUUUUAAAGGUUUUCUGAACCCAAGAUUUCAACUAUUUUCUGCAAUUCUCCAGCUGUGACCCUUGGAGAGUCUUUAGCCACUCAAACUCUCCUCCUCACCGUGCAUUAGGACGAUAUAGACACAUGUUCUCUUCCAUGCAGUUAUGUAAAAUUUUCUGUUGAUUGGAAAUUCUUAAUUAUUGCCCUGAUGGUGGAAAUGGGAAUUUUCACUGCUCUAGCUCUUUUCUUAAAGCCACUUCACUAAUUUGUGACGCUCAAUUAUCUUUUGCUGCACAUCAGAAAUAUAGUUUUUCUCAUUGUGAUGGAUGAUUAAGGGAAUCUGGGCUUUGUUUUCCCUCCUCUUUAUAUUUCUGUGAAACAGGAAGUCAUGGCUGGAUAAUUUCAUGUUCAUAAUCAUCCUGGAGUGCUCAAAAUUGUGAAUAUGAGUGGGAAUAUACUUCAGAGACAAUUUACUCAUAAGAAUUUCUAUAGGGGUGCCAAUAAUUGUGUCCAACGUGUAUUUGAGAAAAAAAAAAAAACAUUUAUUUCAUAAUGAUAUUUCCCCCCAUUUUAAAUUCUUAUUAUCCAAUUAAAGGUUAGAUUGUUGUGAUUUUUUUUUAAAUAAAAGAUCAAAAGGAUUAACAAUGCGGAUUAAUUUUCACAGCCUUCUUUGAUCAUAUUUACCAAGGGUGCCGAUAUUUUUGCCAAUGACUGUAUAUAUUUGGUGGCUUUUGAAGAGGACUCUGAAUAAAAAAGCCAGUCAACUCAAAAUGUGAAUGUUGUGUUUCAGGAGGAGAAAUAAAGGGAACCCCAUCAUGGAGACGAUGUGUCACAAUCCAGCGCUCCCGUUUCAUGGUCAAAAUCUGACGGACUACAACAACAGCGUCUGUCUGAUGAAGCAGGUGAAGGGCAUAGAGGACGAUUUCUACAUCUGCUCCUGCAAUCAGGAAGAGUGCAACGAUAAACUCUUCUUCACUGACGGAAGUUGUGUGAAGCCAGACGAUCAGAUUGGAAAUGGAGAUUUCAGCGAAUCUUUACAGUUUUGUGUGCAGUAAAAUCAGACACGACAGUAUGACAUUUUAGAUAGACAGAACAUCUCUCCACAUCGCCUCAUUUUCAUUCAUUGAAAAUGAAAUAAUUGUGUCUACCCAUGUUUUCAUUAUGAAUUGUUUAAUGGAAUACUUUUUUAAUUGGAGAAUUAAAAAUCUGUUUUUCACUAAAAGUAAUGCAUUUAUGUAUGUGUGUGUACAUAUAUAUGGUGUGUAUUUAUUUAUUUUUUUGUGAUCAACUUUUUAGUAACUAAUUUUUUAUUUAUUUUAUUUAUUUUUUUACAUAGGACAUAUAACAUCAUAACAUCCAUUCAGGAUAAAAUGCAAAAACAACAACAACAGACAUAAUCAAUUUACAUAUUCAAAUGAGCGAGAGAAGGGAGGGAAACAUAUUCUUUUAUAUAAUCCAGUAUUUUAGAAAAAAAAAAAAAAAACACUGCCAAACAUUAAUAGUACUAGGUUUGGCCUUAAUAAUUAGUGCUGUUGUACCUUCACAGGCCACUAUUUUAAGAAGACUAUGGAUCCAAUACUUUUUUCCAUACAUGUGUGGUGUAAACCAGUUCUGUAUUACAGUUGUAAAACAAGCAAACAACAUUAUUUUUUGUACAGCUUAGCGACUGGUGCUACAAACUAAUCUUCAGGCAUCUCUGGUAGCACAAUCAGUUUAGCCACAGGGCGGAUGUAUGUGUUGCCUUUAAUGUCCACUUCAGCAGCUCUGAUUGCACCAUCAUUACUUGGUAGGACUCUGGUUACCUUACCGACAGGCCAUUGGGCUCUGGGAAUCUGCAAUCAAUACAACCUGAUCGACUGCUAGGUUUGGUGUGAUGUUCUGCCACUUCUGUCGAAGCUGAAGACUUGGUAGGUAGUUUCUGAGGAACUGGGUCCAGAAGUGAUCGGCGAUCACUUGGCUGUGUCUAUAGCGACACCGUCCAAGCAGAUUACUUGGUCCAUAGACAGCCUGAGGUAGGGAAGCAUCCCGCCGCCCCAUAAGCAGCAAUAAUCAGGU
ensembl:lncRNA